rnacentral:misc_RNA from 1 species
AAGUCGUAACAAGGUUUCCGUUGGUGAACCAGCGGAAGGAUCAUUACUGAGAUCAUGCCCUCGCGGGUAGACCUCCCACCCUGUGUAUUAUACCUUUGUUGCUUUGGCAGGCCCGCCCCUCGGGGCACUCGGCUCCGGCUGAGCAGCGCCUGCCAGAGGACCCCAACCCUAAUGUUUACGUGUCGUCUGAGUACUAUAUAAUAAGUUAAAACUUUCAACAACGGAUCUCUUGGUUCUG